CAACACGUCUCCAUCUCAUGCAGUCAUUUUCUUCAUCGAGUCCCGUCGCACCUCGAAAAAAUGGGAGCAUGACUUGGCGAAUCGCAAUCGCAGACUCGCAUGAUGGACUAAACAGAGUCGCCACCGAACUUUAUUCAUUCUUAAAAAGGCAAGGGGAAAUAUAGAUAAAACCCAAGAAAGAACGACAAUGAUUAUGGUCGUCGCAACCAAAUCAAGGUUCGGAAGUCGAUUACGCAAGGGGAAGGUAUUAA
rnacentral:lncRNA from 1 species